GGUUAAGCGACUAAGCGUACACGGUGGAUGCCCUGGCAGUCAGAGGCGAUGAAGGACGUGCUAAUCUGCGAUAAGCGUCGGUAAGGUGAUAUGAACCGUUAUAACCGGCGAUUUCCGAAUGGGGAAACCCAGUGUGUUUCGACACACUAUCAUUAACUGAAUCCAUAGGUUAAUGAGGCGAACCGGGGGAACUGAAACAUCUAAGUACCCCGAGGAAAAGAAAUCAACCGAGAUUCCCCCAGUAGCGGCGAGCGAACGGGGAGCAGCCCAGAGCCUGAAUCAGUGUGUGUGUUAGUGGAAGCGUCUGGAAAGGCGCGCGAUACAGGGUGACAGCCCCGUACACAAAAAUGCACAUGCUGUGAGCUCGAUGAGUAGGGCGGGACACGUGGUAUCCUGUCUGAAUAUGGGGGGACCAUCCUCCAAGGCUAAAUACUCCUGACUGACCGAUAGUGAACCAGUACCGUGAGGGAAAGGCGAAAAGAACCCCGGCGAGGGGAGUGAAAAAGAACCUGAAACCGUGUACGUACAAGCAGUGGGAGCACGCUUAGGCGUGUGACUGCGUACCUUUUGUAUAAUGGGUCAGCGACUUAUAUUCUGUAGCAAGGUUAACCGAAUAGGGGAGCCGAAGGGAAACCGAGUCUUAACUGGGCGUUAAGUUGCAGGGUAUAGACCCGAAACCCGGUGAUCUAGCCAUGGGCAGGUUGAAGGUUGGGUAACACUAACUGGAGGACCGAACCGACUAAUGUUGAAAAAUUAGCGGAUGACUUGUGGCUGGGGGUGAAAGGCCAAUCAAACCGGGAGAUAGCUGGUUCUCCCCGAAAGCUAUUUAGGUAGCGCCUCGUGAAUUCAUCUCCGGGGGUAGAGCACUGUUUCGGCAAGGGGGUCAUCCCGACUUACCAACCCGAUGCAAACUGCGAAUACCGGAGAAUGUUAUCACGGGAGACACACGGCGGGUGCUAACGUCCGUCGUGAAGAGGGAAACAACCCAGACCGCCAGCUAAGGUCCCAAAGUCAUGGUUAAGUGGGAAACGAUGUGGGAAGGCCCAGACAGCCAGGAUGUUGGCUUAGAAGCAGCCAUCAUUUAAAGAAAGCGUAAUAGCUCACUGGUCGAGUCGGCCUGCGCGGAAGAUGUAACGGGGCUAAACCAUGCACCGAAGCUGCGGCAGCGACGCUUAUGCGUUGUUGGGUAGGGGAGCGUUCUGUAAGCCUGCGAAGGUGUGCUGUGAGGCAUGCUGGAGGUAUCAGAAGUGCGAAUGCUGACAUAAGUAACGAUAAAGCGGGUGAAAAGCCCGCUCGCCGGAAGACCAAGGGUUCCUGUCCAACGUUAAUCGGGGCAGGGUGAGUCGACCCCUAAGGCGAGGCCGAAAGGCGUAGUCGAUGGGAAACAGGUUAAUAUUCCUGUACUUGGUGUUACUGCGAAGGGGGGACGGAGAAGGCUAUGUUGGCCGGGCGACGGUUGUCCCGGUUUAAGCGUGUAGGCUGGUUUUCCAGGCAAAUCCGGAAAAUCAAGGCUGAGGCGUGAUGACGAGGCACUACGGUGCUGAAGCAACAAAUGCCCUGCUUCCAGGAAAAGCCUCUAAGCAUCAGGUAACAUCAAAUCGUACCCCAAACCGACACAGGUGGUCAGGUAGAGAAUACCAAGGCGCUUGAGAGAACUCGGGUGAAGGAACUAGGCAAAAUGGUGCCGUAACUUCGGGAGAAGGCACGCUGAUAUGUAGGUGAGGUCCCUCGCGGAUGGAGCUGAAAUCAGUCGAAGAUACCAGCUGGCUGCAACUGUUUAUUAAAAACACAGCACUGUGCAAACACGAAAGUGGACGUAUACGGUGUGACGCCUGCCCGGUGCCGGAAGGUUAAUUGAUGGGGUUAGCGCAAGCGAAGCUCUUGAUCGAAGCCCCGGUAAACGGCGGCCGUAACUAUAACGGUCCUAAGGUAGCGAAAUUCCUUGUCGGGUAAGUUCCGACCUGCACGAAUGGCGUAAUGAUGGCCAGGCUGUCUCCACCCGAGACUCAGUGAAAUUGAACUCGCUGUGAAGAUGCAGUGUACCCGCGGCAAGACGGAAAGACCCCGUGAACCUUUACUAUAGCUUGACACUGAACAUUGAGCCUUGAUGUGUAGGAUAGGUGGGAGGCUUUGAAGUGUGGACGCCAGUCUGCAUGGAGCCGACCUUGAAAUACCACCCUUUAAUGUUUGAUGUUCUAACGUUGACCCGUAAUCCGGGUUGCGGACAGUGUCUGGUGGGUAGUUUGACUGGGGCGGUCUCCUCCUAAAGAGUAACGGAGGAGCACGAAGGUUGGCUAAUCCUGGUCGGACAUCAGGAGGUUAGUGCAAUGGCAUAAGCCAGCUUGACUGCGAGCGUGACGGCGCGAGCAGGUGCGAAAGCAGGUCAUAGUGAUCCGGUGGUUCUGAAUGGAAGGGCCAUCGCUCAACGGAUAAAAGGUACUCCGGGGAUAACAGGCUGAUACCGCCCAAGAGUUCAUAUCGACGGCGGUGUUUGGCACCUCGAUGUCGGCUCAUCACAUCCUGGGGCUGAAGUAGGUCCCAAGGGUAUGGCUGUUCGCCAUUUAAAGUGGUACGCGAGCUGGGUUUAGAACGUCGUGAGACAGUUCGGUCCCUAUCUGCCGUGGGCGCUGGAGAACUGAGGGGGGCUGCUCCUAGUACGAGAGGACCGGAGUGGACGCAUCACUGGUGUUCGGGUUGUCAUGCCAAUGGCACUGCCCGGUAGCUAAAUGCGGAAGAGAUAAGUGCUGAAAGCAUCUAAGCACGAAACUUGCCCCGAGAUGAGUUCUCCCUGACCCUUUAAGGGUCCUGAAGGAACGUUGAAGACGACGACGUUGAUAGGCCGGGUGUGUAAGCGCAGCGAUGCGUUGAGCUAACCGGUACUAAUGAACCGUGAGGCUUAACCU
ncrna:Escherichia coli strain K-12 substr. MG1655_TMP32XR1 chromosome, complete genome from Escherichia coli (PDB 7YLA, chain I)